UCCAUGUCUUUCUCUUUCUCUUUAGUUUCCCUUCCAUCUCUCUUUCUCUAUUGUCUUUCCAUCUCUUUCUUUAACCCACUUGCUCAUUCACCACACUCUCUCUGGGUUCCUCUCUUGCCAUUAUACAUGUGUCUGAGUCUCUCUCUCUCUGGGUUCCUCUCUUGCCAUUAUACAUGUGUCUGAGUCUCUCUCUCUCUGGGUUCCUCUCUUGCCAUUAAACAUGUGUCUGAGUCUCUCUCUCUCUGGGUUCCUCUCUUGCCAUUAUACAUGUGUCUGAGUCUCUCUCUCUCUGGGUUCCUCUCUUGCCAUUUGACAUGUGUCUGAGUCUCUCUUUCUCUUGGUUACAUCCAUUUUCUAUUUCACUUCUAAUGAGAAGCUGUAAGCACCAUCUCCCCAAUAGCCCUUAAUAACAGUGAUGAUACUAAAAAUUGACCGUCCCACCGUUGCUGGUUUGAGAAUGGUUUGCAUGGGCCUCCUGGGAGAUCAAUACUACCCUGCAGGCAUGUUGGACUGAGUGGGCUGUGCUGUAACAAUAGUGUCAGAGCAGAGCAUGUGUGAAUGAGUGACCGCUCAUCAGUAAAUACAAACCAUACUGACUGGCUGUGUUUGACCUGACUUAACCCCUCAACCUGGUCAUCAUAUGCUUUCUAUGGUGGUCAAAGUGUCUCACACUCAAACAUUAUCGCCAGGGUUUCAGACAGCGUUUUACACACUCCCGGGGUCUUUGAUUGUGUGCUUCCUGCUACACUAACAAAAAUAACAACCAGAAACUGAAUGAAAUGAAAUCUAUCUGGUCUGUUAUUUCGUGAUGACCAUAGCACAGAGGGGAAUUGGGUUGGCUUGCCUACAACUCCCAUCUAUCAAAUAUACUAUGCCUAUGUCAGCCAUUGUCUUCACCAUUACCCACUAGUGUUUCAAACUAAAUAAGCAUCCAGCCUUAAUACUUGCCCUUUACCUAUCCUGGCCAUUCAGAUAAUGGGGAGGAAACAGCACAGCAUUGUGAGUCAGUGUUUCUGUCUGAGCUACACACAGCACAGAAGUGUGAGUCAGCGUUUCUGUCUGAGCCCCACACAGCACAGAAGUGUGAGUCAGCGUUUCUGUCUGAGCCCCACACAGCACAGCAUUGUGAGUCAGCGUUUCUGUCUGAGCCCCACACAGCACAGCAUUGUGAGUCAGCGUUUCUGUCUGAGCCCCACACAGCACAGCAUUGUGAGUCAGCGUUUCUGUCUGAGCCCCACACAGCACAGAAGUGUGAGUCAGCGUUUCUGUCUGAGCCCCACACAGCACAGAAGUGUGAGUCAGCGUUUCUGUCUGAGCCCCACACAGCACAGAAGUGUGAGUCAGCGUUUCUGUCUGAGCCCCACACAGCACAGAAGUGUGAGUCAGCGUUUCUGUCUGAGCCCCACACAGCACAGCAUUGUGAGUCAGCGUUUCUGUCUGAGCCCCACACAGCACAGCAUUGUGAGUCAGCGUUUCUGUCUGAGCCACACACAGCACAGAAGUGUGAGUCAGCGUUUCUGUCUGAGCCCCACACAGCACAGCAUUGUGAGUCAGCGUUUCUGUCUGAGCCCCACACAGCACAGCAUUGUGAGUCAGCGUUUCUGUCUGAGCCCCACACAGCACAGAAGUGUGAGUCAGCGUUUCUGUCUGAGCCCCACACAGCACAGAAGUGAGUCAGCGUUUCUGUCUGAGCUCCACACAGCACAGCAGGCUUAGUGUAGUAGUAGGACAUGGCAUUUCAAUGUAGCAUUCAACCUUAGAUUCACAAGCGUGUUAUGUUUCAAUGGGACAUUUCUGCAUCAACCCACAAGCUCCUUAAACGGAACAAUUUAGUCUGUUCUGUGCAGACCAAAAUAAUGUGAGAGCUGCCUUGCUCUUUUGUGACAAUACUUGUGGGACAAAUGUACGAUUUCAACCUACAUACUAUAGCUGCCACACAUGGUUAGAAUGCUGCCUCGUAAUAACUAGCCUGUGGUCCAGACUGAGGCCCAGGGGAAGGACCGUUAGAGUGUAGAAGACAGUAAACCACCUGUCUUUCACUUAUACGUCUGCUAUACGCUUGUCAGCCGAGCUUGUCUUUCUUCUUCAUAUAGCAUAACUACUAGCCUGGUCCCAGAUCUGCUUGUGUGAUCAUGCCACUGCUUGUCACUCAUUUGGCAUGACAAGGAGUGGAAUGAUAUCUCAAACCGACUGGUACCCAGGCUACAUAACUACUGCCUGUGCUAUCCCUUUCUCCAUUUUUCUUCUCUUACUUUUCAUCUCCCCCCACGUAUCUCCCUCUCUCUCACUUACCCAGUUUCUUUCAGCUCCUGUUAAGAACCCUGCCUGGUAGGUCUCCUGUCUCUUAUGUUGGUAGUACUGUCUGUCUUCUCCGAUCCCUAACAUAAAGUUUAGAGAAAGUCCCGCUGAAUUUCUGAAUAUGUACUGAAGAUAUAAGUUGAAUUGAUAACCUCUCACUUGCUGACAUCUUCCCAGACCAGGGUCCGGUUUCCCAAAAGCAUCUUAAAGCUAAGUUUGUUAGAACCUUCGUCGGGGCAUUAUUAAAUCUCAGAGCUGUUUCCCAAAACCUUCGUUAUUAACGUUACACUUGUAAUCUAUCGCCUGUCUCAGACCACUCAUAGAACAGCUAAGUGGUUCGUUAGAUGCUUUUUUUGCCCUCCCGCGUCACUUUACACACAGAAGAGCUCCGCUAAACAUAGAAUCACAUGGUCUAUCUGCAUCUGUGACCGCUGAAAACUUCCCAACAAAGUGGACAACAAAUACAAAAUUGACAAUGUCUUUGCAAUUGAUACAAGCAGCUUAUACAAAUUUUGGUGAAAUUAAAACUUGAGGUGUCUACUUUAAAAUAUAUAUAUUUCAAUAAUUUAUGGAGUUCUAUUUUGCUACUUGUAAUUUUGUCUGUAUAUAUUUCAUGCCUAAUAUGUGCAAUGAUGUGUCAUCUUGAUUUUCACAUGUUUUAUGUAACUAGGCAAGUCAGUUAAGAACAAAUUCUUAUUUACAAUGACGGCCUUUUUCAGGGGCAGAACGACAGAUUUUUACCUAGUCAUUUGUCAUCUCUGGGAUUCGAUCCAGCAACCUUUCAGUAACUGGCCCAACGCUCUAACCACUAGGCUACCUGCCGCCCCUAAUGUUAAGUUAAGAUUAGAAUGGAGAAAGCUGAUCCGAGAGCAGCUUUGCCUUUCUUUCAAUACUAUCAGUAUGGACACAAGCCUCAACGACACGUGGUGAAUGUUCUCUCUGCGCGGUGUUUUUGGAAACAUGUUACAUCUUUGGCCGUUUUAGGAAAGAUGCAUCGUUAAAACACUCGUAAGCCUAAGUUCAAUCGCUAUCAGGAAACCGGGCCCAGGUUAAUAGGCCCUUAGCCCUUCCAGUUCUGUUGCUGUAACUAGCCUACCUGACAGCCAACUAACCCCUCGUACUGUGGCUAUCCCAGACACAGCCACUCCCACAGCCUGACACAUACUGAUGAGUGAUACUGCUUAUUUAUCAACAUGAUCUGAUUUUAACAACUUUUCACAAUCCAUGAAGUCUCUUCUUCAGGGAGACAAAGAUGUUUAUGAUUAUCCACUGGCUUCGUAGCGCUCAAACAUAACACUGCAACCCUUUUGAAAUGUGCCAUUUUGUCCCCGUCGAUCAGAACUGCCUUCUCUAAAUCAAGUGCCCUGUGAUCCAACCCUAAACAAUCUACCGAGGGAUACCUGCCCCUUGCCCUCUGCAGUAGCCUUGCCCUCUGCAGUAGCCUUGCCCUCUGCAGUAGCCUUGCCCUCACAGUCCCAGCCAUGUACCAUACACAGUGUUGUUGUUUUGCCUCUGAACAUGUUGCUGUCUUGACUCCGCAUUUGAUCCCCACCAGGUUGACUCAGGAUUGUGACUCAGAUCGAGUAACCUAGAGAGCGGACCUAGAGAGCGGAGAGAAAGGUUGGACAAAAAAAGUCUGGUCUGGCCUUUCACUCUGUCCGUACGAUCUGCAGUGUGUGCUCACCUCAGUCGCUCUCUCUCUCGUCAGUCUGGCCCGAUGCCCAAGUUCAAAACAGACCGACUCGUGUGUCAGGAAAAAACAUCCUCUCACACACACUGAGAGGGAGAGAACGAACACUAAACGCUCAAACCACACAAACCAAAAAAAGAAAGAGCUUUGGUCAAAGGGGAAUAGAGAGAGGUCUCUCUACCUGUCUCUCUCUACCCCUCCCUCUCUCCCUCCCUCCCUCUCUUGGUCUGUCGUUCAGCAGAAAAAUGGAUCGAUAAAGAGUUGAAGCUCUUCGCACCAAGUGACUCCUCGUAAAUGGGUACUUUUCUGUGGGGUGAAUGGAGAACAUAACCAACUCUUUGUUUUAAAGGGAGAAAAUGAAAGUUGUGCCUCCUAAUGUUCUGUCUAAAUGGAUCUAUCUGUCUCUGAUGAAGCGUAAAGGACUCUGUAACCUUAACAAAAUCACUAUGUUCCCAUUGUUUUUAAGGGCCUUCCUUUCCUGGUGCUCUCAGCAAGUUCAUUUUUCACAAGUAGGUAGGAAGGAGCAGUCAUUUAGAAGUAUGGGGACAUUGUGUAGUAGGUGUUGACGUCACAGCCCCCACACAGUAUAUGACCCAUGUCGCUAGACUUGUACAUUGCAAAAGUGCACAAUUGUUACAGUUUUACUCAGUUUAUUUAUCUGACAUGUUUUACCAUAUCGACAAUUGACAGGGGUAUUAUGCAGUCCUGGUAACUUUCAGAUGUUAUUAGCUUGAAGCUGACUUUCAGUUUCCUCUCAGAGCAGUACUGUGCCUUGUCAGCUGCACAUCCUGUUUUAGCUGAUUUGACACCCUGCUGGCAGGGAGAGAUAAAUGUAUCCCCUAGAGCAGGGUUUCCCAAACUGGGUCCUGGUGUCCCCCCAGGGGGCACAUUUAGGUUUUUGCCCUAGUGCUACACAGCUGAUUCAAAUAAUCAGCUAAUCAUCCAGUUUUGAUGAUUUGUGUCAGCUGCAUAGUGCUUGGUCAAAAACCAAAACGUGCACCCCUUAGGGUCCCCUGGAUCGAGUUUGGAAACACUGCCUUAGGGACAAACUAUGUAUUUUCUGAUACGAAAUGCCCCCAAAUUGACAAUGUAUUUCCUGAAAUGGUCCAUGAUUUUACAUGUAGAAACAUCUCCCCAGAGUAACAAUGUGGAGAUGUUGGUGAGACAUUGGAGUAGUGAUGAGGGAAGGCAACUCUUAUAUUAUUUUUCACAACAUGUCAGAUUAUGGGGCUGUGUGCAUUUAGUCUUAUUUUCGGGACUGUAUGCGUCCUACUGUUCUCUAUCAACCUCAUUGACAAAUGUCCUAAGAGCUGCUGUAUCAAUUGAGACAAAUGUUCCUUGUACCAUAACUUUGCCUCCUGGAAGAGAAAAAAAAAAUUCUAAACAC